GACACUGUAAAAAAGCAAGGUAGUCAUUAGAGAUGCUUCGCUUCGUAAAUGUUUAAACAUCUUAACGAUAAUUGGGUAUCACCCGAGAUUUUACUACGAGUGGGCGUACAUUGUAAGUUAAUGUAUUAGGUAAGUUCUGAAAUUUAUUGCAGCCUUGGAUGUUGGAUGAGUCACUUGAGUUUUAUUACAUCCUCUAUCAAGUGGAAUUACGGCAACAAAUUUAUACUUUAUCGAGCUUUUAAUUUUAUGGCUGGAGAUAGUGUCUGAUGGUUAGCCAGUGGAAAAAUUGAAGGGUGAAUGAAAUUAACUUGCGAAUCGUUGCGAAAGCAGCAGGUCCUUCGAGAGCUGUACUAUUUCUUGACACUUAAAUUGCACGAACUACAGCAAGAACAAAAGUUUAGUUGUUGAAACCAAUAACAAUUAGUCAUUGUUCAUGUAGUACUAGUUUUCUAUGAAACCGAGACCAGUUUUGGCCAAAACAACAGCGAGAAACAAAUACCGCACACACUUAAGCUUUCGUAUCCAUUAGUCUCUUGUACAUUCAACUUAAAAGAUACUUAAUGUUCCACUUUCACCACUUAAUUUUGGAAGGAACUUUACCACCUACUUUUCUAAAUGGUAUUUGAGGAACUACACGAGCAUGUCGAAAUUGUUAAAGGUGUAGAUGUCCCAACCCUAUAGAUCUUUUGCAGCGACAAUUUUUUUGAAGACUUUUUAUGUCAGUAUUUAUAUAACUGAACUAACUACAUGUCGUUAAAUGUUAAUCAAAUUCACAACAGCUCAUUCAGCGAGAUUAUGUAUCAUUACAUAAAAAAUUUAUAUUCUUUUAGUUGAUUCUUUC